UGCACGGGUAGGGCCUGGGGAGCUCGCCCUCCCCCCACGCCGAAAGGGGCGUUACGCGGGGGCCAGUAACCUGCACUACUAGUGUGGUGAGCCUUAGCAAACUCAAACACAUCGUCGUGAACCUCCGCCCCGUGGGGCCAGUGGUGGUGGGGUCACCUCUGGAGGGAGGUGGCUACCACCUUUGCAGGGGGACGGUCAGGCCCGGAAGGGAGCAGCCUAACCCCUGACACUGGCGUUCACGGGUCCACCGGGGGGAAUAUCGGUGUGUUUGAGUUUGCUAAGGCUCACCACACUAGUAGUGCAGGGGCCGUGCA
rnacentral:SRP_RNA from 1 species